UACGUAGGGAGCAAGCGUUGUCCGGAAUCAUUGGGCGUAAAGCGCGCGUAGGUGGCUUCGUAAGUCCGUUGUGAAAGUCAAAGGCUCAACCUUUGAAAGCCGAUGGAUACUGUGAAGCUAGAGUACGGAAGAGGCGAGUGGAAUUCCUGGUGUAGCGGUGGAAUGCGCAGAUAUCAGGAGGAACACCUAUUGCGAAGGCAGCUCGCUGGGACGUAACUGACGCUGAGACGCGAAAGCGUGGGGAGCAAACAGG
rnacentral:rRNA from 1 species